UCCUUCAAACGAAAGGCAAGGCACACACCCGAACUCGCCAUUAACUUACCCAGUAGGCCAUGGAAGCUGUCGUGUGUCAACUGGAUUGAAACCCUCGAGAGCGUCUAAGGCCGCCGCUGCCGCCGUCGUCGCUGGUCGUACCGUCGUAGGUGAAAGGAACUCCUCCAGCCACUCACAAACCACGGGCGGGGCCACCACCGCCUCGGGUAUCGCCAGCUAUGCCAUCACCUCGAACUCCACCGCAGCGUUUUCUACGACCUAGUCCGCGUUGGCCUCGGCCUCCCAGGCCGAAAGUGUCGCUUCCGUGUUUAGAACGGCCCGUCACUUCGCCGCCGCCUCUCCUUUCUGUCAAGAGGUGGGUCAAGCCUCGACAGUUGACCCUUCUACUUGGGGGCUCGCGGACCUACCUUAUUCUCCAACUCCUGGCAACGACGUUGAGGUUCGGCGGGUGGAACGGGUUUGGCGUGGUCACGUAAACUCUUCCGGCAAGCAUCGAUACGGCUUUUGGGUUGACUCUUACAUUAUUGGGGUUGACAGCCGUGUAGCAAGCUGAGCCAACCCCUCCGUAUGCUGAAAAUGUUAAACAUAAGUACCCUUUUCCCGAAACCAUAAGCUAUGCCAUUCUCGGCUGACUUACAACUCUCCUGCUUCACGUACGUCCUUUAUCAGACACCAACGAGCCCCUUUCGACCACACCUCUUGUGUUCCAGUACAGCAACGCUUACGGGACGAGACUAUUACCGACCUGGUUACGUAGUCUCCGUUCACCGUUUACGUUGCUGACGACACAGCUCCGUUUACGGUAACUACGUCCAGGGGGCCCGAAGCCCGCAUCGUGCCGGUGUAGAUAACCACACGUUGUCUGUCUUCCUCUACUUUUACUUUACCCCUUAUAGAACGUUCUCUAGUGUCUUUACCUUCGAUGAUGAUAUCUACCCCCCUCUUCUGUACAUUAAAGUAGCACGUUUUUAUAUUGCUAACCGUACCUCACACGAUCUCGGUCCUUACAGUGACACUUUGUACUCUUGCUACUCCUAUCGACAUCUGUCGGAGCACACGAUCUGUAACUGCCCCUCACACGCUCCUUCGAGGUCUUUCUCGACCUGCUCCUUAAACCGUUUACUACUAGUCCAACGUACAUACAUAGUCUUCUACAUACUGGUCUUACGGUGACUGCUCGUUUAGUCCCACCGCUGGUGUGUAGUACCAGUCCCUUGUCCCCGUCCACCAGUAUCUCGUAGUCUGCACCCUCAAGUCUGCUCCAACCUGCUAAAAAAGGUGACAGCCUGACCAGACCGGUCUGUUACUUGGUGACUUCCUGCCUCUACACAGUAAGCCUUCUUUGCAUUCACGUCGUUCUUUAGUUCUUUCCCCUCCCGAUUUGUUGCUCCAAGAGUUUAUAACAAGUCUGUUAGACAGGUUGUCUUUCGAGACUUAGUCUACUGUCGUCGUGUCUACUGCCCUUGUAACGAAUGAUGUAUCUCAACGGUUGUAGCUCUGCUUUAUGAUACGGUCACUCCACACCCACCCACCGUCGUCUACACCCCGCUCAACGACGCGGACGACGUCUCCAGCGUUUACAAAGGCAUCAGUUAUUAGGACCAGUUAUUAUUAGGACUACGCACCUUAAACCGCGGGCUUUGUCCGCUUCGAACGUCUUUACUAUCUAGUCCAAGACAGUCAUCGUUUCUUUAAGUUUGUUACACUUUAAAGUGAACACCUUGCUCCGUUUGAACUAAUGCACUACUUUAAUCGUUCUCUAAGCUAUGAGAGAGUCUAACGGUUUCGUCAACGACACUUACGAUCGUUCCUCUUUUCUCUCUGGACGCGGUAGACGGACCUUCUGUGGCUACAAAGAUUUUAAGUACACCAGCUUCCGACACGUGUAGCGAAAACAAAGACGACGUACUUCCUCGUACACUUUCAAUUCGAUGAGGUACCUUGAGAUGGUCGAACGGGUGUUCUACCAACGUGAUGUUUCGAUUGGCACCUCCCAAGUUUCUAUAAGGAUAGCGGAGCUGACAAUCUAUAGUACCACGUUGCCUAGUCCCUUCCUGUCUAGGGACGAUGAGUUUUCUAAAUGACGGGCAUGGGGUUCACAAGUCGGAACUACAGGAACUCACUUUACUUUGUGGGUAACGUUCUUAGAAGGAGUUUCAUGUGGUAACGACUACGACGGUGUAACUCCUUCACACAGUUUACGUCUCCGAGUAAGACGUAGUCGACAUUCCAGGGUACCGUACUGUCCUACAGAACAAUGCUGAUGUUCUCAUCCAUGGGGGUUCGAGCAGGUCUACUACGCUUCAAUGUCUUGGAACGUGCCGUCGUCGACACCGCGGUUACACAGUUUACGUUCGUGUACUAACUUGAGAGUCUCCCGACGACGGUAUACUGGACACAUACGCCGAUACUUAAGACGAUGUGGACACCCUUUCUUACCUUCCUGUUCUUUCGCUGGACGAGGACGGGCGACACCCUACUUCUAUUGUAAUAGGCACUACCGUACCUCCUCCUCCUACUGCUGCUGAUACUGAUACUGAUACUGAUACUGAUACUGAUACUGAUACUGAUACUCCUACUCCUACUCCUACUACUACUAAUGUUACUAAUGAUACGAUCUCUUCCCGUUGUGAUACUGUCCGUAUUACGACCGGUGGUUGUACCACCUCCUCGCUCCUUAAAAAUACUGAUGUUGUUAUUAGGGCCCGUAGUAGGAGUGGUACCGCCACCUCCCCGUGCUUUAAAGAUGUUGAUGUUAAUCAGAUAAACGUCGAUGUUGACUAUAAACGCAAACGCAAAUCACAGAUUGGUCAACUGACGACUACCAUGAUAGGCAAUCCGGGUGUACUUGAGUCCGUUCCGUUUAAUACUCACUUGCAACCAAAAACGAGUACCGUAUACAAGAACUAGACUAUAAUUAGUCGUCACCAUAAAAGAAAACACUAUUACUAUGAGAGAUCCUAUCAUACGUGUACGAAGAGUCUUGUCUC
rnacentral:rRNA from 1 species